rnacentral:rRNA from 1 species
AUUGAACGCUGGCGGCAGGCCUAACACAUGCAAGUCGAGCGGAGCGGCGGACGGGUGAGUAAUGCCUAGGAAUCUGCCUGGUAGUGGGGGAUAACGUAAGGAAACGGGCGCUAAUACCGCAUACUAUAAGACGAGGCUAGGGCGGAUUAGCUAGUUGGUGGGGUAAAGGCCCACAAAGGCGACGAUCCGGAACUGGUCUGAGAGGAGUAUCAGUCACACUGGAACUGAGACACGGUCCAGACUCCGACGGGAGGCAGCAGUGGGGAAUAUUGGACAAUGGGCGAAAGCCUUAUCCAGCCAUGCCGCGUGUGUGAAGAAGGUCUUCGGAUUGUAAAGCACUUUAAGUUGGGAGGCGUUACCAACAGAAUAAGCACCGGCUAACUUCGUGCCAGCAGCCGCGGUAAUUC